rnacentral:rRNA from 1 species
GGAAUAUUGCACAAUGGGGGAAACCCUGAUGCAGCAACGCCGCGUGAAGGAAGACGGUUUUCGGAUUGUAAACUUCUGUUCUUAGUGAAGAAAAAUGACGGUAGCUAAGGAGCAAGCCACGGCUAACUACGUGCCAGCAGCCGCGGUAAUACGUAGGAGGCAAGCGUUAUCCGGAAUGACUGGGCGUAAAGGGUGCGUAGGUGGUUUGACAAGUUAGUAGCGUAAUUCCGGGGCUCAACUUCGGAACUACUACUAAAACUGUUGGGCUUGAGUGCAGGAGAGGUGAAUGGAAUUCCUAGUGUAGCGGUGGAAUGCGUAGAUAUUAGGAGGAACACCAGCGGCGAAAGCGAUUCACUGGACUGUAACUGACACUGAGGCACGAAAGCGUGGGGAGCAAACAG